rnacentral:rRNA from 1 species
CAGACAUGCUGGUGAGGAAUCAACUUGAUGGUGUGUGGGUUUUUCUCGCACUCUUUCCGGUGCACUUCCUUACUUGGCAGGUUAGCAUCAAUUUCGGUAUCAUAAAAAUUUGAGAGAAUGUGGCC